UACGUAGGGGGCGAGCGUUGUCCGGAAUCAUUGGGCGUAAAGAGCGUGUAGGCGGUCCGGUAAGUCGGCUGUGAAAGUCCAGGGCUCAACCCUGGGAUGCCGGUCGAUACUGCCGGACUAGAGUUCGGAAGAGGCGAGUGGAAUUCCCGGUGUAGCGGUGAAAUGCGCAGAUAUCGGGAGGAACACCUAUGGCGAAGGCAGCUCGCUGGGACGAUACUGACGCUAAGGCGCGAAAGCGUGGGGAGCGAACAGG
rnacentral:rRNA from 1 species